AGUUUGGAAUAUUGCACAAUGGGCGAAAGCCUGAUGCAGCGACGCCGCGUGGAGGACGAAGUCCCUCGGGAUGUAAACUCCUUUUGCCAGGAAAGAUAAUGACGGUACCUGGCGAAUAAGCCCCGGCUAACUACGUGCCAGCAGCCGCGGUAAGACGUAGGGGGCGAGCGUUGUCCGGAUUUACUGGGCGUAAAGAGCGCGUAGGCGGCCUGUUAAGUCAGAAGUGAAAUCUCCAGGGCUCAACUCGGAAAUUGCUUUUGAUACUGGCAGGCUGGAGUGACAGAGAGGUAAUUGGAAUUCCCGGUGUAGUGGUGACAUACUUUGAUAUCGGGAGGAACACCAGAUGCGAAGGCGGAUUACUGGCUGUCAACUGACGCUGAGGCGCGAAAGCGUGGGUAGCAAACAGAAUUAGAUACUCUGGUAGUCCACGCCCUAAACGAUGGAUGCUAGUCGUCAGGAGUAUCGACCCUCUUGGUGACGUCGCAAACGCAUUAAGCAUCCCGCCUGGGGACUACGGCCGCAAGGUUGAAACUCAAAUGAAUUGACGGGACCCCGCACAAGCGGUGGAGCAUGUGGAUUAAUUCGAUACUAACCGAAGAACCUUACCCAGACUUGACAUCGAUGGCAAGCCCUAGAAAUAGGGCCCCCUACCCACAAGGUAGGCCUGAAGACGGAUGUUGCAUGGCUGUCGUCAGCUCGUGCCGUGAGGUGUUUGGUUAAGUCCAGCAACGAGCGCAACCCUCAUCUCGUGUUGCCAACGGAUAAAGCCGGGGACUCGCGAGAAACUGCCCGUGUAAACGGGAGGAAGGUGAGGAUGACGUCAAGUCAGCAUGGCUCUUACGUCUGGGGCUUCACACAUGCUACAAUGGGCGCAACAAAGGGAAGCAAUACCGCGAGGUGGAGCGAAUCCCAAAAAUACGCCCUCAGUUCAGAUUGCAGUCUGCAACUCGACUGCAUGAGGCGGAAUCGCUAGUAACCGCAGGUCAGCUAUACUGCGGUGAAUACGUUCCCGGGGUUUGUACACACUGCCCGUCAAGUCACCUGAAUCGUCUGCACCCGAAGUCCGUGGCCUAACCGCAAGGAAGGAGCGGCCGAAGGUGUGGGGGGUAAGGGGGACU
rnacentral:rRNA from 1 species